GCACCCUUCACUUUCCCUGACAAUGCUCUUAACUCCAGACCUUUCCCAGAAGGUGGAGGCCCGGAGCUGUUUCCCAUACCCAUGGAGCUCUACUCUGCCCCCAGGGAAAAAGCCGUUCGGGGUGUUAGCAGUUUCUUCGGCUCCUGGGGAACAGCCACCUGUUUUCCAUCCAAUAGAUCUGCCCGUGGUGCGGCUGGCGGCCGGGAGGAGCAGGUGCGAGG
rnacentral:lncRNA from 1 species